CCAACUCACAUAGCGUGUAUUAAAGUUGUCGCGGUAAUAAAAGCUCGUAGUUGGAUGUAUGCCAAGGGCGAAAGGUCCACGCUCUGGGUCAGCAGCUGGCUCGGCCUAGGCAUCAUCUUGGAGAGCGUCGCUGCGCUUGAUUGUGUUGCACGGUAGCCAGGACAUGUACUUUGAGGGAAUUAUCGCGUUUCAAUCCAACG
rnacentral:rRNA from 1 species